CUGAAGAACUUCCUCCAAUCUCCUGAUAGCCCUGAUUAAACUGCCUUCAAACACCGGAGUCAUUUCCAUAAUCUCAUAAAACUUAGAUCCUUUAGCCCAAGCAUAGACGGCCUCCAUGAUAUCAGGUCGGAAAGAACUCACGAAGUUCUCAACAUCUAUUUGGACCUUGCUCUCGAGCUGAACUUUUGCCACUUGCUGAGCUGUAUCCUGUAAUUGUGCAAAGAGCAACCCAAGCUCUUCCCGGGGCUUUUGAGCAUCCUGAAGCUUUUCUUGCCAAACAAAACAAGAGAGAAGAGAGACCAUAUCCUCCACUUUAAUAUUUCUGAAGGUCCCAUUCAACAUCAAUUCAGUCAAGGUCAACUCAUCUGCACUGCUGAUUUCGCUGGCUACUUUUCCUUUCUGCAACACAACAUCAUCCUUGAUGUAUCCAAGUCUUCUAAGAGCUCUUUUCCGUGCUUUAAGUUCAUCUUUGAAAGCCAAGACAGUUGAAGUACGCAAUGUUCUCUUGAUUGAUUUGAUUUUGCUGGUAAGUUCUUUCUUCUUAUGCAAAACCUUAAGCUUCUCUUUUAUAAGGGGAGACUUUGCUAUCUCGUACUCUUCAAACAGACUCUCAAGAGCCUCUAUCCUACUCGAAGCCUUCCUGUACGAGCUACUUUGAACCUUCAUGUCAUCUUCUGGGUGUAAGAGAGGCAUGCCCUCUUUUGAAAAUCUAUUGAGAACUUCAGAAACCUUCUUUAGUGCAUUUUCUCGAACUUCCGAAGGCAAAAGAUCCUUUGGUAUCACAAGACGGACACUGCUCAAACUAUCAAUCUGGGACAAAGGAAGAGAGACAACAGCUGGUUCACCAGCAUCCUUCAACCGAACGACUUUAAUUGUCUUUCUACCAACCUCAUCCUUCUGCACUAUACAUCUCGUGAGUACAUCUACUGUAUAGUUCGCGUCCUCCGGUUUUUUGUUUGCAUCAUCUUCAGAAAUCCCUUUCACCCUUUCAAAAUUAACUAUUACUCCCCAUGUGACCUCUUCACUGAGGGAGAAGUUUGGGUCAACAUCAACCUUUGUACACUCAAUGCAUACAAGCCUACCAGGCUGCAGGAAAGGUAAGCAAUAUUUUGGAGAAAAAACAAUGCCACGUACAUCCCUCUUCAAGCUCUUAUAUUGUUCUAGCAGAUUAUAAUAUCUCUCAAGGCUGUCUUCUUCUUCAAUCACAAUUGAGUUUCUCUCCUCUUCAAGAAUCUUUGCUUGUUUCUCAAGAUCAGGAAGUGCACGAUCUGCUUGAAAUUGAUAAAAUGAGUUACGCAGCAGAUUUUCAGGAUGACCAUCUUCAGACCGUAUUUGAUUUAAAAGCAUGUUAUAGCUUAAAUGGAAGGCACUGUUUAAUGCAUCAGCACUUCCUUUUAGCAUGAAUUUAGCUGUAGAAGGUUCAAGUUUCUCAUCAACCAUAAGGAUGCAGAUCCCACGAUCAUCAAUCCCCCGACGGCCAGCACGACCACUCAUCUGAAUAUACUCACCACUGGAUAACCACCUAAACUUGUCUCCAUCAAAUUUACGG
rnacentral:misc_RNA from 1 species